GGACCCGUCUUGAAACACGGACCAAGGAGACCUACAUGUGUGCUAGCCAUUGAGACUAAACACAAAACUGAAAGGCGCAACGAAAGUGAAGGCGUGCGCCAGUCGCGCGCUCAGGGAGGAUGGAGCGUCGGUCUCGAUCGACCUCUCGCACUCCCGAGGCGUCUCGUUUCCAAUCAGUGAAUGCAGGCGCGCUCUGAGCACAGAUGCUGGGACCCGAAAGAUGGUGAACUAUGCU
rnacentral:rRNA from 1 species